AAAUGCAAACUCUUUGUCAAGUUUUUCAUAGCUCACCACUGCAUGUAAUCCACAAACAGGAUAGGUCUACAAAUUACAUUAGUAGCAAAUAUGUGUUCUAUAACCAAACAUAGGGAAGAUUUUGCAAUGUUGAUUACAACUAAAACCAUAUUAUUUACAGAUGCUGCAAUAUAAAUUUUGCAAUCGUAUGCAUGGAAGACAAUUCUUCCACUAUCUAGUGGUGAAGCAUUUGUUGGAUAGGUACGUUUGUGUACUGGACAUGGAAAAUUGUCAUGCUGUUACUGAAUAGAAAUUAUAUUUACUUGAACAUUUUAUAUGCCAUUUCACUGAUAAAGGUACAUGGGUCCUUUUUUUCUACAGAAACACUGUAAAAGAAGAUGACUCAAUGUUGUUCAGAUGACCAUGAGAUCAUUGACCAUACACUCCGUAAUCUUUUGCUUUUGGAAUGUGCUUUAGACUAUAUUUAUAUGCUCCUAUUGCUAAUAAUAUCAAAACUCCAAGACUGCAUUAUAGCUCCUUUGAUGACCAUCAGCAGGGAAAUUUUACUAUGUUUGUGAAUAGAAUUGUGAUACCCGGUCGAUAUGUGUCCUGUACCAACAGGAACACACAAUGACCUUUAUGGUAUUAUGUCAAAUUUGAUGAACUUUUAUUUCAUUUCAUGUAGUAAUCAUUUUUUAUCUGUAAUAUGUUACAGAAUAAAACAUUUUAAAACUUACAAA
rnacentral:lncRNA from 1 species